GGCUUGACCGGGGAGCUUGGCGUGCCCUAUACCGUAAAUCGUCAAUAUACGGGGUGACAGCAGGGGGCGGCUCCUCUGAACAUUCAAGCCCAUCGAGCGACUAUGAGAUCUUGUCCUGUAGAGUCGGUGUUUGCAACGAAAACAGCCGGAGGGUUGUUGUUCAUGCAUCAAUCGGGGAAACCGGGUCAGGUCCUGACGGGAGCAGCCUCACUCCGAACUACUGACGUUUACGGGGUGGCAGGGUUGAGAAGCGAAAUGGCAAACUUGAACUGGGAUGAGGGGUCCACCCCUG
rnacentral:SRP_RNA from 1 species